GGUCGGGGAUAGCUCAGCUGGUAGAGCAGAGGAAUGAAAAUCCUCG
rnacentral:tRNA from 1 species